rnacentral:rRNA from 1 species
UACGUAGGGUGCGAGCGUUGUCCGGAAUUACUGGGCGUAAAGAGCUCGUAGGUGGUUUGUCGCGUUGUCCGUGAAAACUCACAACUCAAUUGUGGGCGUGCGGGCGAUACGGGCAGACUGGAGUACUGCAGGGGAGACUGGAAUUCCUGGUGUAGCGGUGGAAUGCGCAGAUAUCAGGAGGAACACCGGUGGCGAAGGCGGGUCUCUGGGCAGUAACUGACGCUGAGGAGCGAAAGCGUGGGGAGCGACAGGAUAGAUACCCG